rnacentral:rRNA from 1 species
CCUACGGGGGGCAGCAGUGAGGAAUAUUGGUCAAUGGCCGAGAGGCUGAACCAGCCAAGUCGCGUGAGGGAAGACGGCCCUACGGGUUGUAAACCUCUUUUGUCGGGGAGAAAAGAGAGUCACGUGUGACUCAUUGAGAGUACCCGAAGAAAAAGCAUCGGCUAACUCCGUUCCAGCAGCCGCGGUAAUACGGAGGAUGCGAGCGUUAUCCGGAUUUAUUGGGUUUAAAGGGUGCGCAGGCGGAGGUGCAAGUCAGCGGUCAAAUUGCGGGGCUCAACCCCGUACUGCCGUUGAAACUGCAUGCCUUGAGUGCGCGAGAGGUAUGCGGAAUGCGUGGUGUAGCGGUGAAAUGCAUAGAUAUCACGCAGAACUCCGAUUGCGAAGGCAGCAUACCGGCGCGCAACUGACGCUCAUGCACGAAAGCGUGGGUAUCGAACAGGAUUAGAUACCCGGGUAGUC